UAGCAUAUCAAUAAGCGGAGGAAAAGAAACCAACAGGGAUUGCCCUAGUAACGGCGAGUGAAGCGGCAACAGCUCAAAUUUGAAAUCUGGCUCUUUUAGAGUCCGAGUUGUAAUUUGCAGAGGGCGCUUUGGCUUUGGCAGCGGUCCAAGUUCCUUGGAACAGGACGUCACAGAGGGUGAGAAUCCCGUACGUGGUCGCUGGCUAUUGCCGUGUAAAGCCCCUUCGACGAGUCGAGUUGUUUGGGAAUGCAGCUCUAAAUGGGAGGUACAUUUCUUCUAAAGCUAAAUAUUGGCCAGAGACCGAUAGCGCACAAGUAGAGUGAUCGAAAGAUGAAAAGCACUUUGGAAAGAGAGUCAAACAGCACGUGAAAUUGUUGAAAGGGAAGCGCUUGCAGCCAGACUUGCUUACAGUUGCUCAUCCGGGUUUUUACCCGGUGCACUCUUCUGUAGGCAGGCCAGCAUCAGUUUGGGCGGUAGGAUAAAGGUCUCUGUCACGUACCUCCUUUCGGGGAGGCCUUAUAGGGGAGACGACAUACUACCAGCCUGGACUGAGGUCCGCGCAUCUGCUAGGAUGCUGGCGUAAUGGCUGUAAGCGGCCCGUCUUGAAACACGGACCAAGGAGUCUAACAUCUAUGCGAGUGUUUGGGUGUCAAGCCCGAGCGCGUAAUGAAAGUGAACGGAGGUGGGAACCCGCAAGGGUGCACCAUCGACCGAUCCUGAUGUCUUCGGAAGGAUUUGAGUAAGAGCAUGGCUGUUGGGACCCGAAAGAUGGUGAACUAUGCUUGAAUAGGGUGAAGCCAGAGGAAACUCUGGUGGAGGCUCGCAGCGGUUCUGACGUGCAAAUCGAUCGUCAAAUUUGGGCAUAGGGGCGAAAGACUAAUCGAACUAUCUAGUAGCUGGUUCCUGCCAAU
rnacentral:rRNA from 1 species